AAAAUACUUUUAAAAAUAUUAAAUAAUGAAAUAAAUAAAAUUUUAACAUUAAAAAAAACAAAACAAAAGAUGAGAACGAAAAUAUAAAAAAAUUAAAUGAAAAGUUAUAAAAAAUAAAAGUGAAAAUCAAACUACAAAACUUCAAAAUAAAAAGCAAAAAACAACAAUAAAAAAUUAUACAUUAAAAAAAACUAAAUAAAAGAUAAAAAUUAAAAAAAAAUUAAAGUUAAAGUUAUAAAAAAACAAAAGUGAAAAUCAAACUACAAAACUUGAAAUAAAAAGCAAAAAAAAAAUAAAAAAAUAGUACAUCACAAAAAAAAUCAAAUAAUGAAACAAAUAAAAACACAACAUUAAAAAAACUAAAUAAAAAAUAAAAAAAUAUAAGUGAAAAUCAAACAACACAACUUACAUAAAAGACGGAAAAAAAAUUAAAUGAAAGGUCAUAAAAUACAAUAGUGAAAAUCAAACUACAAAAAAAAAAUAAUAAUUAAAAAAAUUGAACAUUACAAAAAAAAUAAAAAAAUAAAAUAAUGAAAGAAAUAAAAAUUUCACAUUCAAAAAAAACUAAAAGAAACUUUUUUGAAUAAAAUUCUAAAUUCAAAAAAAUUAAUAAUUUCAUAUUAAAAAAAAUAAAACAAAAAAAAAACAUUUGAAAAAUAAUAAAACACAAAAGUGAAAAUCAAACUACCAAACUUCAAAAAAAAAAACAUUUGAAAAAAAAUUAUAUAUUGAAAAAAAUCAAAGAAAUAAAUAAAUAAAAUUUUCACAUGAAAAAAAAUUAAAUUAAAAGUUAUAAAAAAUAAAACUGAAAAUCAAACUACAAAACUUUAAAUAAAAAAGCAAUCAACACCUGAAAAAAAUUCUAAAAUAAUAAAAAUAAUAAUUAAGCAAAAGAUGAGAACGAAAAUAUCAAAAAAAUGAACAAAAAAGUUAUAAAAAACAAAAGUAAAAAUCAAACUAUAAAACUUUAAACAAAAUAGCAAAUAACAUUUAAAAAAAAAGAUCAACAUUAAAAAAAACUAAAUAGUAGAUAAAAAAAUAACAAAAAUUAAAUGAAAAAUCAUAAAACACAAAAGUGAAAAUCAAACUACAAAAUUUAAAAAAAAUCAAAUAAUGAAAGAUAUAUAAAAUUUUCACAUUAAAAAAAACUAAACAAAAGAUGAGAAAGAAAAUAUUAAAAAAUUAAAUGAAAAAUUAUAAAAAAUAAAAUUGAAAAUCAAACUACAAAACUUAAAAAUAAAAAAGCAAAAAACAAUAAUAAAAAAUUUCAAACUAUAGAACUUUAAAUUAAAUAGCAAAAAAAUAGUAAUAACAAAAUUUAGCAUUAAAAAAAUUAAACAAAAGGUGAAAAAGAAAAUAUAGAAAAAUUAAAUAAAAAAUUAUAAAAAUUAAAAGUGAAUUCAAACUACAAAACUUUAAAUAAAAAAGCAAAUAGCACUUGAAAAAAAAUUUAAAUUCAAGAAAAAUAAUAAUUUCACAUUCAAAAAAAAAUUAAUACAAAAAAAAUAUUUAAAAAGUCAUAAAACACAAAAGUGAAAAUCAAACUACCAAACUGCAAAAAAAUAAGAAAAAAAAUCCAAUAAAGAAAGAAAUAAAAUUUUAACAUGAAAAAAAAUUAAAUGAAAAGUUAUAAAAAAUAAAAGUGAAAAUCAAACAACACAUGAAAAAAAUUCUAAAAUAAAAAAAAUAAUAAUUGAAAGAAAUAAAAUUUUCACAUUAAAAAAAACUAAAUAAAAGAUGAAAAAGAAAAGAAAUAAAAAAUUAAAAAAAAUAAAGUGAAAAUCGAACUACAAAGCUUCAAAAUAAAAAAGUAAAAAUCAAUAAUACAAAAAUUAUUUCAAUAGCGAAAAUCAAAAAACACAACUGAAAUGAAAAAAAUAAAGUGAAAUCAAACUACAAAACUUUAAAUAGAAAAGCAAACAACAAUUGAAAAAAAUUCAAAAAGAAAAAAAAAAAUAAUAAUAACUAAAAGAAAAUUAUACAUUAAAAAAAUUAGGUAUUGAAAGAAAUAACAUUUUCAAAUUAAAAAAAAUAAAUAAAAGAUGAACAAGAAUAUAAAAAAAUAAUGAAAAACAAAGUGAAAAUCAAACUACAAAAAACAAUUCUAAAAUAAAAAAAUAAUAAUUAAAUAAUGAAAAAAAUAAAAAUUCCAUAUUAAAUAAAACUAAGCAAAAGAUGAGAAUGAAAAUAUCAAAAAUAUGAACAAAAAAGUUAUAAGAAAAAAAAAACACUUUUAAAAAAAUUAAAUAAUGAAAGAAAUAAAAUUUUAACAUUAAAAAAAACAAAACAAAAGAUGAGAAAGAAAAUAUAAAAAAAUUAAAUGAGAAGUUAUAAAAAAUAAACGUGAAAAUCAAACUACAAAACUUCAAAAUAAAAAAGCAAAAAACAACAAUAAAAAAUUAUACAUUAAAAAAAACUAAAUAAAAGAUAAAAAGAAAAAGAAAAAAGUUAAAGUUAAAGUUAUAAAAAACAAAAGUGAAAAUCAAACUGCAAAACUUGAAAUAAAAAGCAAAAAAAAUUAAAAAAUAGUACAUCACAAAAAAAAUCAAAUAAUGAAACAAAUAAAAAUUCAACAUUAAAAAAACUAAAUAAAAAAUAAAAAAUAAAAAUAAAAAUUUAAAGUUAAAGAUAAAAAAAAACAAAAGUGAAAAUCAAACAACACAACUUACAUAAAAGACGGGGAAAAAAAUUUAAAUAAAAAGUCAAAAAAUACAAUAGUGAAAAUCAAACUACAAAAAAAAAACAAUUAAAAAAAUUGAACAUUACAAAAAAAAUAAAAAAAUCAAAUAAUGAAAGAAAUAAAAAUUUCACAUUCAAAAAAAAAUAAAAGAAACAUGGAAAAAAAUAAAAAAAUUAACAUAAAAAUUAUUAAAAACAAAACUGAAAAUCAAAUUACAAAACUUUUUGGAAUAAAAUUCUAAAUUCAAAAAAAAAUAAUAAUUCCACAUUAAAAAAAAAACAAAGAAAACAUUUGAAAAGUCAUAAAACACAAAAGUGAAAAAUCAAACUACCAAACUUCAAAAAAUAAAAAAAAAAUAUUUGAAAAAAAAUUAUACAUUCAAAAAAAUCAAAUAAAUAAAGAAAUAAAAUUUUCACAUGAAAAAAAAUUAAAUCAAAAGUUAUAAAAAAUAAAACUGAAAAUUAAACUACAAAACUUUAAAUAAAAAAGCAAAAAACACCUGAAAAAAAUUCUAAAAUAAAAAAAAUAAUAAUUUAGCAAAAGAUGAGAACGAAAAUAUCAAAAAAAUGAACAAAAAAGUUAUAAAAAACAAAAGUAAAAAUCAAACUUUAAAACUUUAAACAAAAAUAGCAAAUAACAAUUGCAAAAAAUUCUAAAUCCAAAAAUAAUAAUAAUUAAGUAAAAAAUGAAAAAAAAGAUCAACAUUAAAAAAAACUAAAUAAUAGAUAAAAAAAUUACAAAAAUUAAAUGAAAAGUCAUAAAACACAAAAGUGAAAAUCAAACUACAAAAUUUCAAAAAAUCAAAUAAUGAAAGAUAUAUAAAAUUUUCACAUUAAGAAAAGCUAAACAAAAGAUGAGAAAGAAAAUAUAAAAAAAUUAAAUGAAAAAUUAUAAAAAAUUAAAUUGAAAAUCAAACUACAAAACUUCAAAACAAUAAUAAAAAAAUUUCACAUUAAAAAAAUUAAACAAAAGAUGAAAAGAAAAUAUAGAAAAAUUAAAUAGAAAGUUAUAAAGAAUAAAAGUGAAAUCAAACUACAGAACUUUAAAUAAGAAAGGAAACAAGACUUGAAAAAAAAUCCUGAAAAUAAUAAAAAAUAAUAAUUGAAAGAAAAUUAUACAUUAAAAAAAAUAAAUAUUGAAAGAAAUAAAAAUUUUAAAUUAUAAAAAACUAAAUUAAAGAAGAAAAAGAAAAUAAAAAACAAAGUUAAAAUUAAACUACAAAACUUUAAAUAAAAAAGAAAAUAACACAUGAAAAAAAAUUCUAAAUUCAACAAAAAUAAUAAUUCCACAUAAAAAAAAACUAAAACAAAGAAAACAUUUGAAAAGUCAUAAAACACAAUAGUGAAAAUCAAACUACCAAACUUCAAAAAAAUAAGAAAAAAAAACAUUUUCACAUGAAAAAAAAACUAAGCAAAAGAUGACAUUAAAUGAAAAGUUAAAAAAAAUAAAAAGUGAAAAUCAAACUACAAAACUUUAAAUAAAAAAUCAAACAAUACUUGAAAAAAAAUCUAAAAUAAAAAAAUGAUAAUUAAAUAAUGAAAAAAAUAAAAUUCCACAUUAAAAAAAACUAAGCAAAAUAUGAGAACGAAAAAGUUAUAAAAAACAAAAGUCAAAAUCAAACUAUAAAACUUUAAAUAAAAAAGUAAAUAACACUUGAAAAAAAUUCUAAAUUCAAAAAUAAUAACAUUAAAGAAAACUAAAUAAAAGAUAAAAAAAAUAACAAAAAUUAAAUAAAAAGUCAUAAAACGCAAAAGUGAAAAUCAAACUACAAAAUUUCAAAAAAAAAGAAAAAAACACUUUAAAAAAAUCAAAUAAUGAGAGAUAUAAAAUUUUCACAUCAAAAAAAACUAAAUAAAAGAUGAGAAAGAAAAUAUAAAAAAAAUAAAUAAAAGUUAUAAAAAAUAAAAAUGAAAAUCGAACUACAAAACUUCAAUAAAAAAGCAAAAAACAGUAAUAACAAAAUUUAGCAUUAAAAAAAUUAAACAAAAGGCGAAAAGAAAAUAUAGAAAAAUUAAAUAAAAAAUUAUAAAAAAUAAAAGUGAAAAUCAAACUACAAAAUUUUAAAUAAAAAAGCAAAUAACACUUGAAAAAAAUUCUAAAUUCAAAAAAAAUAAUAAUUUCACAUUAAAAAAAACUAAAACAAAAAAAAACAUUUAAAAAAUCAUAAAACACAAAAGUGAAAAUCAAACUACCAAACUUCAAAACAAUAAGAAAAAAAAACAUUUGAAAAAAAAUUAUACAUUAAAAAAAAUUAAAUAAAUAAAGAAAUAAAAUUUUAACAUGAAAAAAAAAUAACUGAGAAGUUAUAAAAAAUAAAAGU
rnacentral:lncRNA from 1 species